rnacentral:rRNA from 1 species
UACAGAGGUGCCGAGCGUUAGGCGGAAUCACUGGGCUUAAAGCGUGUGUAGGCGGGCGGGCAAGUACCUUGUGAAAUCCCGCGGCUCAACCGUGGAACGGCUGGGUAUACUGCCUGUCUUGAGCCAACUAGGGGCGAGCGGAACAGACGGUGGAGCGGUGAAAUGCGUAGAUAUCGUCUGGAACGCCGAAGGUGAAAACAGCUCGCUGGGGUUGUGCUGACGCUGAGACACGAAAGCCAGGGGAGCGAACGGG